CCAAUAGCGUAUAUUAAAGUUGUUGUGGUUAAAAAGCUCGUAGUUGAACCUUGGGCCUGGCUGGCCGGUCCGCCUCACCGCGUGUACUGGUCCGGCCGGGCCUUUCCCUCUGUGGAACCUCAUGCCCUUCACUGGGUGUGACGGGGAAGCAGGACUUUUACUGUGAAAAAAUUAGAGUGCUCCAAGCAGGCCUAUGCUCGAAUACAUUAGCAUGGAAUAAUAAAAUAGGACGUGCGGUUCUAUUUUGUUGGUUUCUAGGACCGCCGUAAUGAUUAAUAGGGACAGUCGGGGGCAUCAGUAUUCAAUUGUCAGAGGUGAAAUUCUUGGAUUUAUUGAAGACUAACUACUGCGAAAGCAUUUGCCAAGGAUGUUUUCAUUGAUCAAGAACGAAAGUUAGGGGAGCAAAGACGAUCAGAUACCGUCGUAGUCUUAACCAUAAACGAUGCCGACUAGGGAUCGGUGGGAGUUAGUUUUAUGACUCCAUCGGCACCUCAUG
rnacentral:misc_RNA from 1 species